AGAGUUUGAUCCUGGCUCAGAGCGAACGCUGGCGGCAGGCCUAACACAUGCAAGUCGAACGAGCCUUCGGGCUAGUGGCGGACGGGUGAGUAACACGUGGGAACGUACCUUUAGGUUCGGAACAACACAGGGAAACUUGUGCUAAUACCGAAUGUGCCCUUCGGGGGAAAGAUUUAUCGCCUUUAGAGCGGCCCGCGUUAGAUUAGCUAGUUGGUGAGGUAAAGGCUCACCAAGGCUACGAUCUAUAGCUGGUCUGAGAGGAUGAUCAGCCACAUUGGGACUGAGACACGGCCCAAACUCCUACGGGAGGCAGCAGUGGGGAAUCUUGCGCAAUGGUCGAAAGACUGACGCAGCCAUGCCGCGUGAAUGAUGAAGGUCUUAGGAUUGUAAAAUUCUUUCAGCAGGGACGAUAAUGACGGUACCUGCAGAAGAAGCCCCGGCUAACUUCGUGCCAGCAGCCGCGGUAAUACGAAGGGGGCUAGCGUUGCUCGGAAUUACUGGGCGUAAAGGGAGCGUAGGCGGGUUAUCAAGAUGGAGGUGAAAGCCCAGGGCUCAACCUUGGAAUUGCCUUCAAAACUGAUAGCCUAGAGUAUGAUAGAGGUAAGUGGAACUCCGAGUGUAGAGGUGAAAUUCGUAGAUAUUCGGAAGAACACCAGUGGCGAACGCGACUUACUGGAUCAUGACUGACGCUGAGGCUCGAAAGCGUGGGGAGCAACAGGAUUAGAUACCCUGUAGUCCACGCUGUAAACGAUGAUUGCUAGUUGUCAGCCGGCAUGCCGGUUGGUGACGCAGCUAACGCAUUAAGCAUCCGCCUGGGGGAGUACGGUCGCAAGAUUAA
rnacentral:rRNA from 1 species